rnacentral:misc_RNA from 1 species
GAUGAAGAACGUAGUGAAAUGCGAUAAGUAAUGUGAAUUGCAGAAUUCAGUGAAUCAUCGAAUCUUUGAACGCACAUUGCGCCCCCUGGUAUUCCGGGGGGCAUGCCUGUUCGAGCGUCAUUUCACCACCCAAGCCUCGCUUGGUAUUGGGCAACGCGGUCCGCCGCGUGCCUCAAAUCGACCGGCUGGGUCUUCUGUCCCCUAAGCGUUGUGGAAACUAUUCGCUAAAGGGUGUUCGGGAGGCUACGCCGUAAAACAACCCCAUUUCUAAGGUUGACCUCGGAUCAGGUAGGGAUACCCGCUGAACUUAAGCAUAUCAAUAAGCGGAGGA